rnacentral:rRNA from 1 species
UACAGAGGGGGCAAGCGUUGUUCGGAAUUACUGGGCGUAAAGGGCGCGUAGGCGGCCCGCUAAGUCGAACGUGAAAUCCCCGAGCUCAACUCGGGAACUGCGUCCGAUACUGGCGGGCUUGAAUCCGGGAGAGGGAUGCGGAAUUCCAGGUGUAGCGGUGAAAUGCGUAGAUAUCUGGAGGAACACCGGUGGCGAAGGCGGCAUCCUGGACCGGCAUUGACGCUGAGGAGCGAAAGCGUGGGGAGCGAACAGG